UAACAAGGAUUCCCCUAGUAACUGCGAGUGAAGCGGGAAAAGCUCAAAUUUAAAAUCUGGCAGCUUCGCUGUCCGAGUUGUAAUCUGGAGAAGCAUUUUCCGUGCUGGACCGUGUACAAGUCUCUUGGAACAGAGCGUCAUAGAGGGUGAGAAUCCCGUCCAUGACACGGACUACCAGUGCUUUGUGAUAUGCUCUCGAAGAGUCGAGUUGUUUGGGAUUGCAGCUCAAAAUGGGUGGUAAGUUCCAUCUAAAGCUAAAUAUUGGCGAGAGACCGAUAGCGAACAAGUACCGUGAGGGAAAGAUGAAAAGCACUUUGGAAAGAGAGUUAAACAGUACGUGAAAUUGUUGAAAGGGAAACGCUUGAAGUCAGUCGCGUUGUCUGGGACUCAGCCUUGCUUUUGCUUGGUGUACUUCCUGGUUAACGGGUCAACAUCAAUUUUGGUUGGUGGAUAAAGGUUGGAGGAAUGUGGCAUCACUUGUGAUGUGUUAUAGCCUUCUUCUGCAUACACUGGCUGGGAUUGAGGUCUGCAGCACGCCUUUAAGGCCGGGGUUCGCCCACGUUCGUGCUUAGGAUGUUGGCAUAAUGGCUUUAAGCGACCCGUCUUGAAACACGGACCAAGGAGUCUAACAUGCCUGCGAGUAUUAGAGUGGAAAACUCUUAUGCGUAAUGAAAGUGAAAGUUGGGACUCUUCAUCGAGGCACCGACGCCCGGCCCUGAAGUUUACUGACGGUGCUGCGGUAGAGCAUGUAUGUUGGGACCCGAAAGAUGGUGAACUAUGCCUGAAUAGGGUGAAGCCAGGGGAAACUCUGGUGGAGGCUCGUAGCGAUUCUGACGUGCAAAUCGAUCGUCAAAUUUGGG
rnacentral:rRNA from 1 species